AACGUAGGACACAAGCGUUAUCCGGAAUUACUGGGCGUAAAGGGCGCGUAGGCGGCCUUCUAAGUCGAACGUGAAAUCCCCGGGCUCAACCCGGGAACUGCGUCCGAUACUGGAAGGCUUGAAUCCGGGAGAGGGAUGUGGAAUUCCAGGUGUAGCGGUGAAAUGCGUAGAUAUCUGGAGGAACACCCGUGGCGAAGGCGGUUCUCUGGGACGGUACUGACGCUGAGACGCGAAAGCGUGGGGAGCGAACAGG
rnacentral:rRNA from 1 species